UCUUAUCAAUUUUCAAUAGAAUUUGUUACUUACCAAUUUUCUAUUUCGUUAAUAUUGUGACACGUUCGCUAUAAAUACUGUUAAUUAAUUAAUUUCUUUACAUUUCUAUUGAACUGACAAAAUGAAAUCCUUCUUUGUGUUUGUGAUUGUACAGGCUGUUGCCCUGAGCGUAAACGCACAGUGUCUUCGCUCAUGUGGACCUAACUUGCUCGCUGCCCCCGUGGCGGCUCCCAUUGCUGCUCCUCUGGCCGGUCCCUUAGCUGCUGCACUGGCAGGACCUUGCGUUGGCCCUGCCGUAGCCCCAACGCUCUCAGCUCUUACUGCUCUAGGGCCUAACGCAGUCGCAAACAGUCUUGCCGAUACCCUCUCCCUACUCACCGUUAGCAGCUUGCUGGCUGAGAAGUUACCUCUGGGGUACCCUGCGGUGGCACCAGUUGGCUGCGGCUGUGGUAGUCCAUUGGGCUACUCCUAUGUUGUUUAAGUAGUUUGAUUUUCAGAGAAAUAUUCGUCGAAAAGUUUUUAUGUAAAAAUCAAGUGCGUUUUUAAGCUAUCAUUUGAUGGCGAUCAUCUAUUUCGAAAAUAUUAAAGAAUUGUAAAGUGUUUGAAAUGUAAAGAAAAUGCAACACUUUAAUUACAGAGCUUCCUAUUUGCAAUAUUGGUUUUUGUAUAAAAUUGUACUUUUGUUUUUGAUACAUAAUAUUUUUUGAUUGGAACAAAUAUAUAUCGUUUAACAAA